GUGGGGAAUUUUGGACAAUGGGCGCAAGCCUGAUCCAGCAAUGCCGCGUGCAGGAAGAAGGCCUUCGGGUUGUAAACUGCUUUUGUACGGAACGAAACGGUCCGGGUUAAUACCCUGGGCUAAUGACGGUACCGUAAGAAUAAGCACCGGCUAACUACGUGCCAGCAGCCGCGGUAAUACGUAGGGUGCAAGCGUUAAUCGGAAUUACUGGGCGUAAAGCGUGCGUAGGCGGUUUUGUAAGACAGGCGUGAAAUCCCCGGGCUCAACCUGGGAAUUGCGCUUGUGACGGCAAGGCUGGAGUGCGGCAGAGGGGGAUGGAAUUCCGCGUGUAGCAGUGAAAUGCGUAGAUAUGCGGAGGAACACCGAUGGCGAAGGCAAUCCCCUGGGCCUGCACUGACGCUCAUGCACGAAAGCGUGGGGAGCAAACAGGAUUAGAUACCCGGGUAGUCC
rnacentral:rRNA from 1 species